AUGGAGAUCCUGAGCCCGUCGCCGCCGCCCAGCCCGGCCAGGAACCAGUUCGUAUACGGCGGCGCCGGCGCGCUCCUGCGCCGCGACCAGGCCGGCGCCGGCGCGCUGCUCCACGUCGCCGUCGGGAGGUCGCCGGAGAAGACGCUGCCGCUGCUGCGCUGGGCGUUCCGACGGUUCGGCUGCGCGCGCGUCGCCCUCGUCCACGUCCACCAGCCCUCCCCGGUCAUCCCCACCCUCCUGGGAAAGAUUCCGGCGGCUCAGGCGACGGAGGAGCUGGUCCUGUCGCACCGCAGGUCCGAGAGGGACGAGAGGAACAGGAUCCUCCUCGCCUACCUCGCCUUCUGUCAAAGGGCGCAGGUGCAGGCAACUGUUCUUGUAACAGAGAACGAACAGAUCAACGACGGCAUCGUCGCUUUGGUCAGGGAUCAUGGGGUCACAAAGCUUGUCAUGGGUUCUAUACCGGACAAUUGCUUCAAGUUAAAGGCAGGCCACAACAAGGAAUAUUUUAUGGCAAAGAAUGCUCCAGCAUUUUGUGAAAUUUGGUUUGUAUGGAGAGGAAGACACAUCUGGACCAGAGAAGCAAGCGCAGCGAUUGGCAACAGCAUCUCAAUCUACAACCAUGAUGAUAUUAUGAUGACCAGGAAGAGGACUAGGUUCAGCCCAAAUAGCAACAGCGCUGAACCCGUGCUUGCAGAAGGCACUGUAUCAGAUUAUGGAGCUUUUGGAGCUGAUGCCAACCAUUUCUACAAUAUGAGACUAUCAAAUUUACAGGAUGCAGAAUCUGCAUUCAACUCAACCCUCUGGCCUGAUUCCUCCGUACAUGGGGGAGCAUUGCAGUUACAUUCUAAGGAAAUGUUGGAUGCAAAUCUCAAGCAAGUCAUGGUUGAAGCUGAGGGAUCAAGGAAGGAAGCUUUUCUUGAGCUUCGCAAGCGCAAAGAAAUAGAGUCAAAAGUGGCCGGUGCUUUUGUCAGGGUAAAAGCUUCUGAGUCUUCUAAAAAACGAGAAAUGAAAAUAAGGGAGGAACUUGAAGGUUUAUUCGUAGCCACGAGAAAGCAGCAUGAAGAUCUGGCAAGAAGUAAAGAAAAAGCUACGGCUGUGUUGGACUCUUCUAUGAGAAGAUUAGACAUCCUAGAUGCUCGUGCUAAAAACAUGAGCCUUCGGAUGGAUGAGGCUGUGGCGGAGCUCGAGGUGAUUCAAUCUUCCAUAAAUAUUCUCAAGCAGGAAAGAACAAAGGCUCAUAAGAAUGAAGAUAGACAUACGAACCAUGUCAAAGAAGGGUGCACAUACAGCCAUUCCAAGUUGCCAAACUGCAGUUCAAUUGCUCUUGGUGAUGAUCCAUACACCUUUAGACAAUUGACACUGUUAGAUGUGCAAGCUGCAACAUGUAAAUUCUCAGAGAGCUUCAAAUUACGUCCAAGAGGUCAUGGGUGCAUUUACAAAGGAAAAAUUAUGAACAGGAGUGUGAUGAUUCAUAGGUUGCACUCAGAUAGCAUUAAGAGCUCGAUGCAAUUCCAGCGGAAGGUGUACAUCCUAAACAAAGUGAGGCACCCUCAUCUAGUGACAUUGGUUGGGGUAUGCCCAGAGGCACUCUGUCUUGCCUAUGAGUAUCCGAAAAAUGGGAGCCUUCAUGACCAUCUCUUCGGCGAACUCAACAGUGCCCCGCCGUUGCCAUGGAAAAUCCGUGCACGCAUUGUGGCGGAGAUCUCGAGUGCUCUGCUGUUCCUGCAUUCAUGUAAACCACAGAUGAUGGUUCAUGGUGGCCUGAAUCUCGAGAACAUCCUUCUAGAUUCCGACUCCCACUGCAAGAUAGCCGAUUUUGGUACAUUGACAGCGGAAGACUCGAAGGAUCACCCAGCAUUGGAUUCUGGACUGCUGGCACACAAGUCUGAUAUCAACUCCUUCGGUACCGUGAUACUGCAGCUACUAACUGGUAAACAGCCUGGUAGUCCAGGCCUUGCCAGCGAAGUAAGGCGCGCUCUGUCCUGUGGAAAGCUGUCGUCGAUCUUGGAUCCAACGGCCGGGGAGUGGCCAAUGGAGGCGGCCCGGCGGCUAGCGGAGUUUGGGCUCGAGUGCAGCGGAGACAGACCGGAGCUGACUCCGGACACGGUACGAGAACUGGAGCAGCUGCAUCUGAUCAGGGGGCGGCCAGUACCGUCCUUCUUCCUGUGCCCGAUUCUCAAGGAAAUCAUGGAUGAUCCUCAGGUGGCCGUGGACGGGGUGACGUACGAGGGACGCGCCAUCCGCGAGUGGAUCGAGGAUGGCCGGGCCGUGGCCGACCUGAAGCUGAAGCACCUCGGCCUCACCCCCAACCACGCCCUCCGGUUCGCCAUUCAGGACUGGCUCUCUCAGCCUCAGUGGUGA
rnacentral:rRNA from 1 species